CCUAGCAGCGAGGAAGUCCCGAAGCAAAGGAACACCCUGCUGGAUCAAUCCGCAAACCUCCAAAGGCCAGAAAUCACGCUCCCGCCAAACUCUACACGUAAAAUCCGAAAAUGAGCACCGAUUCUGCCUCAAAAACAGCAGCAGAGAAGAGAAUAAUUCCGACCAAGAAAACCUCCACCAAAACCAGCAAGUAAGGGCUUCGUGGAUUCCUCUCGAAGUCCCGAAUCCAACGAACCAAGUCUCGUCGAAAUCCGCUGCUCCUACGUCGAGAGGGAGCCGAAACGGCGACGGUCGACGCUGAAAAUUCUGCAAAUCAGCACCAAGCUCGAAAUGACAAUACUUGAAGCAAUGCAACGGAACACUCACCUCAAAGGCUAAUUGAACAUCGACGCGGCGGUGAGAACGACGAAAACGCACCCUCACCUAGCUUCCUCGUAGCGCUACGAUGACGAAGACCUGCUCGAACGGCACCGUGGCGCGACGUCGGCGUCGAUCCGAGCUCCACGACAACUCCACCCGAGCUCGAGCUCUCCACCUUGCCCACGAGCU
rnacentral:lncRNA from 1 species